rnacentral:rRNA from 1 species
CUAGUAUGAAAGGGUUGACGAAAGAAUAAUUUUCUUCUUGUUUAUUUAAAUUAAUAAGUAAAUAAAAAAGUUUAUUCACCUUAGAUAGACGAUAAGACCCUAAAACCUUAAAUGAAAUUAUUCUUUUUGCUGGGGCGGCAAAUUAUAUUCCAUAAUUUUUUAAAACAUAAUAAAUGAGCUAUUACCUAACUUAGACUAAACCCAAAAAGGUACUUUAGGGAUAACAGCAUAAUUUUUAUAUAGAGUUACUUAUCGACAUAAAAGAUUAUGACCUCGAUGUUGAAUUGAUAUAACUUUUCUAAGCAGCCCUAGUAAAUUGUAGGUCUGUUCGACCUUUAAAUUAUCACAUGAUCUGAGUUCAAACCGGA